rnacentral:rRNA from 1 species
GGGUUGUGAGGUUAAGCGACUAAGCGUACACGGUGGAUGCCCUGGCAGUCAGAGGCGAUGAAGGGCGUGCUAAUCUGCGAUAAGCGCCGGUAAGGUGAUAUGAACCGUUAUAACCGGCGAUACCCGAAUGGGGAAACCCAGUGUGACUCGUCACACUAUCAUUAACUGAAUCCAUAGGUUAAUGAGGCGAACCGGGGGAACUGAAACAUCUAAGUACCCCGAGGAAAAGAAAUCAACCGAGAUUCCCCCAGUAGCGGCGAGCGAACGGGGAGGAGCCCAGAGCCUGAAUCAGCAUGUGUGUUAGUGGAAGCGUCUGGAAAGGCGCGCGAUACAGGGUGACAGCCCCGUACACAAAAGCGCAUGUGCUGUGAGCUCGAUGAGUAGGGCGGGACACGUGGUAUCCUGUCUGAAUAUGGGGGGACCAUCCUCCAAGGCUAAAUACUCCUGACUGACCGAUAGUGAACCAGUACCGUGAGGGAAAGGCGAAAAGAACCCCGGCGAGGGGAGUGAAAAAGAACCUGAAACCGUGUACGUACAAGCAGUGGGAGCACAGGUUUACCUGUGUGACUGCGUACCUUUUGUAUAAUGGGUCAGCGACUUAUAUUCUGUAGCAAGGUUAACCGUAUAGGGGAGCCGCAGGGAAACCGAGUCUUAACCGGGCGUUAAGUUGCAGGGUAUAGACCCGAAACCCGGUGAUCUAGCCAUGGGCAGGUUGAAGGUUGGGUAACACUAACUGGAGGACCGAACCGACUAAUGUUGAAAAAUUAGCGGAUGACCUGUGGCUGGGGGUGAAAGGCCAAUCAAACCGGGAGAUAGCUGGUUCUCCCCGAAAGCUAUUUAGGUAGCGCCUCGUGAAUUCAUCUCCGGGGGUAGAGCACUGUUUCGGCUAGGGGGCCAUCCCGGCUUACCAACCCGAUGCAAACUGCGAAUACCGGAGAAUGUUAUCACGGGAGACACACGGCGGGUGCUAACGUCCGUCGUGAAGAGGGAAACAACCCAGACCGCCAGCUAAGGUCCCAAAGUCAUGGUUAAGUGGGAAACGAUGUGGGAAGGCCCAGACAGCCAGGAUGUUGGCUUAGAAGCAGCCAUCAUUUAAAGAAAGCGUAAUAGCUCACUGGUCGAGUCGGCCUGCGCGGAAGAUGUAACGGGGCUAAACCAUGCACCGAAGCUGCGGCAGCGACGCUGAUGCGUUGUUGGGUAGGGGAGCGUUCUGUAAGCCUGUGAAGGUGGCCUGUGAGGGUUGCUGGAGGUAUCAGAAGUGCGAAUGCUGACAUAAGUAACGAUAAAGCGGGUGAAAAGCCCGCUCGCCGGAAGACCAAGGGUUCCUGUCCAACGUUAAUCGGGGCAGGGUGAGUCGACCCCUAAGGCGAGGCCGAAAGGCGUAGUCGAUGGGAAACGGGUUAAUAUUCCCGUA